rnacentral:tRNA from 1 species
GAGGUACUAGUAAAAUAUUAUAUAGCAAUGUCAACGCUAAGUUACAACUCAGAUUGUGUACCUCA